GCUGGGCUGGCUCAAUCAGCAGAGCACAAGACUCUUAAUCUCAGGGUUGUGGGUUCGAGCCCCAUGCUGGGCA